UAUCGAUACUCGCUGUUUCACUAACUCGUUUUUCCCCCAAAAUCCCUAAUCCCUAAACCUGAUUCUCUUCUCUCUACCUCUCCUAUUUCUUCUUCUCCUUCUUCCUUUGCGAUAAUGGUGAGUCGCAGUAGCCCAAAUCCCUAAUCUCAUCUCCUCUUCUUGCUUUUGAUUUGCUAACUUUCUUGCCGUUUUUGUUGAGUUGUAUCCUUGAAUACGUUUAUGGAAUCUGAAAGUGAAGAUAGCGCUAGGUCAGUGAACUCCAUUGUUGCUUGAUCUAGACUGAGAUGUCGGCGUAAUCUUCCCGUCCAAAUAAUGACAUCGUGGAGUAGAACAAAUCUAAGUAGACAAUUCUGUCGAUGCCCAUAUUGGAUAAAGAAGGUGGAUGGACAGUGAACUUCCACCCAGGAGCAUGGAGAUUGUAAACAACAUGUUUGCAAGAAUUGAUGGGUUGAAAACUAUUGCGCAAAUGUUGAAGGAGAAAAAUUUGGAGCUGGAAAGAAAAAUGAAUGAGGCAGAGAAGGUAGAGUAGAAGAAAGCAUCUAAGAAAGAAUUGAAGGCCCAAAUGUUGCUUCUCACUCAUAGCAAUAGUACACUUAAUUUCCAGUAUGAAGGAAAAGAAGAAAAUGAGGCUAGUUGGUUGAAGUGUUUUUGUGUAGGAAUUGUGUUAAUAUGCUUAAUGCACAAGGUUGCGCUUAAGUAGAACCUCAAUGAUGUUUAAUGUGCUUAUUUGGUUAGUUGCGGUAGUAGCUUUUUUGUCCAAAAAGCUCAAUUAAUGUGCUUGUUUGUAGAACCUGAAUUGCAAUUGAAUGUAAAAGCAGUCAUUUGGUUAUUUUGCUGUCAA